GGGCGGUUAACUCAGCGGUAGAGUGUCUGCCUUACAAGCAGAAAGCCACUGGUUCGAAUCCAGUACUGCCCA
rnacentral:tRNA from 1 species